rnacentral:rRNA from 1 species
GGAAACUCUGGUGGAGGCCCGUUUGGAUUCUGACGUGCAAAUCGAUCCUCACAGCUGGGUAUAUGGGCGAAAGACUAAUCGAACCAUCUAGUAGCUGGUUCCCCCCGAAGUUUCCCUCAGGAUAGCUGGUGCUCGUUUCAAGAUGAACAAGUUUCAUCCGGUAAAGCGAAUGAUUAGAGGCCUUGGGGGCGAAAUGACCUCAACCUAUUCUCAAACUUUAAAUGGGUGAGAAGCCCGGCUUCCUUGAAUGAAGCCUCGGCAUUCGAAUUGAUAGAGCACCCAGUGGGCCACUUUUGGUAAGCAGAACUGGCGCUGGGGGAUGAACCAAACGUUGAGUUACGGUGCCCGAAUGAACGCAAAUUUGACCCCAUGAAGGGUGUCGGUUGCUCCAGAACAGCAGGACGGUGGCCAUGGAAGUCGAAUCCGCUAAGGAGUGUGUAACAACUCACCUGCCGAAGCAACCAGCCCUGAAAAUGGAUGGCGCUCUAGCGUUUUGCCUAUACCCAACCGCUGGAACAGAGCUGGUAUGAGCCCUUAAGUUCCAGUGAGUAGGGGGGUGUAGUGGUGUGCUUUGAAGGGUCUGGGUGUGAGCCUGCCUGGAGCCGCCCAUCGC